UACGAAGGGUGCAAGCGUUAAUCGGAAUUACUGGGCGUAAAGCGCGCGUAGGCGGUUUGAUAAGUGAGAUGUGAAAUCCCCGGGCUCAACCUGGGAACUGCAUCUCAUACUGUCAGGCUAGAGUACGGUAGAGGGGGGUAGAAUUCCACGUGUAGCGGUGAAAUGCGUAGAGAUGUGGAGGAAUACCAGUGGCGAAGGCGGCCCCCUGGAUCGAUACUGACGCUGAGGUGCGAAAGCGUGGGGAGCAAAC
rnacentral:rRNA from 1 species